rnacentral:tRNA from 1 species
GGGGUGGUAGCUCAGCCGGUCAGAGCAGUGGACUCAUAAUCCAUCGGUCGCGGGUUCGAGCCCCGCCCACCCCACCA